AAGUCCGCUAACGAGCGCAACCCUCGCCGUAUGUUACAAGUGUCAUACGGGACUGCCGGUAAAAGCCGGAGGAGGUGAGGAUGAUGUCAAGUCAGCAUGACCUUUAUAUCCAGGGCUACACACACGCUACAAUGGUCUGUACAAUUGGUUGCCAAGCCGCGAGGCGGAGCCAAUCCGUAAAGCAGGCCUCAGUUCAGAUUGCAGUCUGCAACUCGACUGCAUGAAGCCGGAGUUGCUAGUAACCGCAGGUCAGCAAUACUGCGGUGAAUACGUUCCCGGGUCUU
rnacentral:rRNA from 1 species